rnacentral:rRNA from 1 species
GCAUAUCAAUAAGCGGAGGAAAAGAAAUUAACUAAGAUUGCCCCAGUAACGGCGAGUGAAGCGGCAAGAGCCCAACAUGAAAAUCUUCACGCAUUCCGCGUAACGAGUUGUACAGUAUAGGGGAGUCGCUCAACUGGUGUGGGCGCAGAAGUGCCUUAGAACAGGCCGCCAAAGAGGGUGACAGCCCCGUAUGUGGUGCCAACACCAAACGAGCUGCUUUCCGAAGAGUCGGGUUGUUUUGUAUUGCAGCCCUAAGUGGGAGAUAAACUUCUUCUAAGGCUAAAUAUUUACGGGAAACCGAUAGCGAACAAGUACUGUGAAGGAAAGAUGAAAAGAACUUUGAAAAGAGAGUUAAUAGACUUGAAAUCGUUGAGAAGGAAGCGGUAGAAAUGUAUUCUUCGGCGGUGAACGGUGAAGGUUGUCUAGCUUCUUUUGGCCGCUUGCACUUCAACGGCAGCGGCUAUUAUCAAGGGAAACGGCCUUCUUGUUCUUCGUCGUGAGGCAAAAUGGGGUUACUCUCUUUCAGAAGCUUGCCUUAGUUGGCCCGAUUCGUUGGGCACUCUGGCUUUGCUGGAUUGGGAGUGGCUCGAGGGGCUUCGUGCGAUUUUGCCAAAAUGGUUUUUACCGACCCGUCUUGAAACACGGACC